rnacentral:rRNA from 1 species
GAUGAACGCUGGCGGCGUGCCUAACACAUGCAAGUCGAGCGAACCUUUCGGGGUGAGCGGCGGACGGGUGAGUAACGCGUGGGUAACCUGCCCUAUACACACGGAUAACGUACCGAAAGGUACGCUAAUACGGGAUAAAGUUGUUGGAUGGCAUCUUCUAACAAUCAAAGCUCCGGCGGUAUAGGAUGGACCAGCGUCUGAUUAGCUAGUUGGUGAGGUAAGGGCUCACCAAGGCGACGAUCAGUAGCCGACCUGAGAGGGUGAUCGGCCACACUGGAACUGAGACACGGUCCAGACUCCUACGGGAGGCAGCAGUGGGGAAUAUUGCACAAUGGGCGAAAGACUGAUGCAGCAGCGCCGCGUGAGCGAUGAAGGUCUUCGGAUCGUAUGGCUCUGUCCUCAAGGAAGAUAAUGACGGUACUUGAGGAGGAAGCCCCGGCUAACUACGUGCCAGCCGCCGCAGUAA